rnacentral:rRNA from 1 species
GAUGAACGCUGGCGGCGUGCCUAAUACAUGCCAGUCGAGCGAACAGACGAGGAGCUUGCUCCUCUGACGUUAGCGGCGGACGGGUGAGUAACACGUGGAUAACCUACCUAUAAGACUGGGAUAAAUUCGGGAAACCGGAGCUAAUACCGGAUAAUAUAUUGAACCGCAUGGUUCAAUAGUGAAAGACGGUUUUGCUGUCACUUAUAGAUGGAUCCGCGCCGCAUUAGCUAGUUGGUAAGGUAACGGCUUACCAAGGCGACGAUGCGUAGCCGACCUGAGAGGGUGAUCGGCCACACUGGAACUGAGACACGGUCCAGACUCCUACGGGAGGCAGCAGUAGGGAAUCUUCCGCAAUGGGCGAAAGCUUGACGGGGCAACGCCGCGUGAGUGAUGAAGGUCUUCGGAUCGUAAAACUCUGUUAUUAGGGAAGAACAAAUGUGUAAGUAACUAUGCACGUCUUGACGGUACCUAAUCAGAAAGCCACGGCUAACUACGUG